GUGGGGAAUAUUGGACAAUGGGCGAAAGCCUGAUCCAGCAAUGUCGCGUGAGUGAUGAAGGCCUUAGGGUUGUAAAGCUCUUUUACCAGGGAUGAUAAUGACAGUACCUGGAGAAUAAGCUCCGGCUAACUCCGUGCCAGCAGCCGCGGUAAUACGGAGGGAGCUAGCGUUGUUCGGAAUUACUGGGCGUAAAGCGCACGUAGGCGGUUACUCAAGUCAGAGGUGAAAGCCCGGGGCUCAACCCCGGAACUGCCUUUGAAACUAGGUAACUGGAAUCUUGGAGAGGUCAGUGGAAUUCCGAGUGUAGAGGUGAAAUUCGUAGAUAUUCGGAAGAACACCAGUGGCGAAGGCGACUGACUGGACAAGUAUUGACGCUGAGGUGCGAAAGCGUGGGGAGCAAACAGGAUUAGAAACCCCUGUAGUCC
rnacentral:rRNA from 1 species